GAUGAACGCUGGCGGCGUGCUUAACACAUGCAAGUCGAACGGAAAGGCCAGUGCUUGCCCUGGUCCUCGAGUGGCGAACGGGUGAGUAACACGUGGGUGAUCUGCCCUGUACUUCGGGAUAAGCUUGGGAAACUGGGUCUAAUACCGGAUAGGACAACUUUUUGGAUAUUGUUGUGGAAAGCUUUUGCGGUAUGGGAUGAGCUCGCGGCCUAUCAGCUUGUUGGUGGGGUAAUGGCCUACCAAGGCGUCGACGGGUAGCCGGCCUGAGAGGGUGUACGGCCACAUUGGGACUGAGAUACGGCCCAGACUCCUACGGGAGGCAGCAGUGGGGAAUAUUGCACAAUGGGCGCAAGCCUGAUGCAGCGACGCCGCGUGGGGGAUGAAGGCCUUCGGGUUGUAAACUCCUUUCGCUAGGGACGAAGCUUUUUUGUGACGGUACCUGGAGAAGAAGCACCGGCUAACUACGUG
rnacentral:rRNA from 1 species